CUGUCGGUCUGUCUGUCGGUCCGUCCACCAGGUGGUUUCCGGAUGAUAACUCAAGAACGCUUGGGCCUAGGAUCAUGAAACUUCAUAGGUACAUUGAUCAUGACUCGCAGAUGACCCCUAUUGAUUUUGAGGUCACUAGGUCAAAGGUCAAGGUCACAGUGACCCGAAAUAGUAAAAUGGUUUCCGGAUGAUAACUCAAGAACGCUUAGGCCUAGGAUCAUGAAACUUGAUAGGUAGAUUGAUCAUGACUCGCAGAUGACCCCUAUUGAUUUUCAGGUCACUAGGUCAAAGGUCAAGGUCACGGUGACCCGAAAUAGUAAAAUGGUUUCCGGAUGAUAACUCAAGAACGCUUAUGGCUAGGAUCAUGAAACUUCAUAGGUACAUUGAUCAUGACUGGCAGAUGACCCCUAUUGAUUUUCAGGUCACUAGGUCAAAGGUCAAGGUCACAGUGACAAAAAACAUAUUCACACAAUGGCUGUCACUACAACGGAGAGC